CACAGUGCUGAAACAGAAAGCAAGUAAGAAAGCAGUUCUCACUUAAUGACUCUUGCAGCAGCAGUAGAACUAAGGUACUGAAGACCCUGCUAUCGGUUCCGGAGGUUGCUGAGCACAAUGGUUCAGGAGAGCAGUUUCUUCUGUUUGAACAUUCCCAUCAGUACCUUUGGCAUCUGCUGUUGGUCUCUCCUGAAUGAAAACAACGAGACUCUCUCAGAAUUGGUACCGUAUACAUUUGAAGUAGCGUACAAGACCUGAAAUUGGCUGUGAUGUGCUAGAUCCACGCUGUCUACAGAGGACUACGUUAACUAAACAACUGCUGUAGGAAUGGUCCAGCUUUGUAGUACAUUUGGGAUUUUGGGUUAUGUAUUUGUUUUUGCACGGCACAAAGAAGUGCAUAUGAGAGGCUCUGGGACAUUUGCCUUGUUAUCUGCAACAAACAGGACUCCUGUCCCAAUACAAAUAGCACCUGUUCAGCAACAAUAUCAGCAUAUUUGAUGAAGAAACAGCAUUAACAGGCCAGGUUCAGCUUGUCUUGUGUACAAGCUAAAUAUUUAUUAAUAUUUUCUACAAUUUGAUAAGGUUCUGCUUCCAGACUGGACUUCACAAUACAGUUAACGAUUAGCAUCA